AAGGUGGGACGAUCUGCCGCGCUGCGAGGCUUCGGCCGAGGGUGAGGAAAGUCCGGACAGGACAGGGCACCCUGCUGGGGAAAGCCCAGAUGGGAGUAAUCUUAUGGCACCGUAACAGAAAACAACCGCCGAAACCACAGGUCCAAGGGCCUGCAGGUCGGUAAGGGUGAAAACGCGAGGCAAGAGCUCACGACGUGCGUCGGCGACGCCGCACGGGUACGAUGCAAGGGCCUGCAAGACCAAAUAUACUGGCAAAUGAGGGCGGCCCGUCCGAUGCCAGGGGGUAGGUUGCGAAGAUAAAUGGCAGAUUCAAAAACAGAAACCGGCUUACGGUCCCACCUUUUUU
rnacentral:RNase_P_RNA from 1 species